rnacentral:rRNA from 1 species
UACGGAGGGGCUAGCGUUGUUCGGAAUUACUGGGCGUAAAGCGCACGUAGGCGGCUUUGUAAGUUAGAGGUGAAAGCCUGGGGCUCAACUCCAGAACUGCCUUUAAGACUGCAUCGCUUGAAUCAUGGAGAGGCGGGUGGAAUUCCGAGUGUAGAGGUGAAAUUCGUAGAUAUUCGGAAGAACACCAGUGGCGAAGGCGGCCCGCUGGACAUGUAUUGACGCUGAGGUGCGAAAGCGUGGGGAGCAAACAGG